rnacentral:rRNA from 1 species
UGGGGAAUCUUGGACAAUGGGGCAACCCUGAUCCAGCCAUGCCGCGUGAGUGAUGAAGGCCUUAGGGUCGUAAAGCUCUUUCGCCUGUGAAGAUAAUGACGGUAGCAGGUAAAGAAACCCCGGCUAACUCCGUGCCAGCAGCCGCGGUAAUACGGAGGGGGUUAGCGUUGUUCGGAAUUACUGGGCGUAAAGCGCACGUAGGCGGACCAGAAAGUUGGGGGUGAAAUCCCGGGGGCUCAACCCCGGAACUGCCUCCAAAACUAUUGGUCUAGAGUUCGAGAGAGGUGAGUGGAAUUCCAAGUGUAGAGGUGAAAUUCGUAGAUAUUUGGAGGAACACCAGUGGCGAAGGCGGCUCACUGGCUCGAUACUGACGCUGAGGUGCGAAAGUGUGGGGAGCAAACAGGAUUAGAUACCCUGGUAGUCCACACCGUAAAACGAUGAAUGCCAGUCGUCGGGUAGCAUGCUAUUCGGUGACACACCU